GACGAACCGUGCGAACGUUGUUCGGAAUCACUGGGCUUAAAGGGCGCGUAGGCGGGCUGCCAAGUCUGUGGUGAAAUCCUCCGGCUCAACCGGAGAACUGCCGUGGAUACUGGCGGCCUCGAGGGAGGUAGGGGCAUGCGGAACUAUGCGUGGAGCGGUGAAAUGCGUUGAUAUGCAUAGGAACUCCGGUGGCGAAGGCGGCGUGCUGGACCUCUUCUGACGCUGAGGCGCGAAAGCCAGGGGAGCGAACGGG
rnacentral:rRNA from 1 species